ACAGACUGUGCCCAGAACCCCGUUAUCUGAGGAAGGCAAAGGAGGCCAGAGGGUGAAGGAGGGUCACUUCAGCAUGAGUCAGAGUAACAGUAAUACCUUCUCAGUGACUUUUUCCAACAGUCUGGACUCUUCUGGCACUCUGUCCCAGGGCAGUUAGACAGAGAGAGCUACACCAGUCAACUGGUAACAGAGGGAAGUUGGCAGAUGUGAGCCAUCCAGAAAUUACCAUCCUUUUUCAGCCAAAGAGGAAAAAAAUAAGAUUUAGGACAAGAGAUAUGAUCGAUCUUUCCUCUUCCUUCCCCCGCAUUCUUGCCACAAAUUUUCAGAGUACUGGAACUGUAGCCAGAUGGUUCAGAGAAUCAAGAACCAAGAAUAAGAACCAAUCACACGUGAGGUGGUCAGGGCAUCAGGUAAGGAGCUUUACUUCUACAACAUCAAGUCCUCUUGCUGGUUCUUUGAGAGUAUUUGAAA
rnacentral:lncRNA from 1 species